rnacentral:rRNA from 1 species
GUGAGGAAUAUUGGACAAUGGGCGCAAGCCUGAUCCAGCCAUGCCGCGUGCAGGAAGAAGCAUCUAUGGUGUGUAAACUGCUUUUGUACGGGAAGAAACACUCCUUCGUGAAGGAGCUUGACGGUACCGUAAGAAUAAGGAUCGGCUAACUCCGUGCCAGCAGCCGCGGUAAUACGGAGGAUCCAAGCGUUAUCCGGAAUCAUUGGGUUUAAAGGGUCCGUAGGCGGUUUGGUAAGUCAGUGGUGAAAGCCCGCAGCUCAACUGUGGAACGGCCAUUGAUACUGCCAGACUUGAAUUACAAGGAAGUGACUAGAAUAUGUAGUGUAGCGGUGAAAUGCUUAGAUAUUACAUGGAAUACCAAUUGCGAAGGCAGGUUACUACUUGUGGAUUGACGCUGAUGGACGAAAGCGUGGGGAGCGAACAGGAUUAGAUACCCCAGUAGUCC